AGUGUGGUGGCCGAGUUGUUAAGGCGUUGGACUUAAGUUCCAAUGGACAUUAGUCCUCGUGGGUUCAAAUCCCACCCGCACUA
rnacentral:tRNA from 1 species